rnacentral:rRNA from 1 species
UACAGAGGGUGCGAGCGUUGUUCGGAAUUACUGGGCGUAAAGGGCGCGUAGGUGGCCUGUUAAGUCGGACGUGAAAUCCCCGGGCUCAACCCGGGAACUGCGUCCGAUACUGGCAGGCUUGAAUCCGGGAGAGGGAUGCGGAAUUCCAGGUGUAGCGGUGAAAUGCGUAGAUAUCUGGAGGAACACCGGUGGCGAAGGCGGCAUCCUGGACCGGCAUUGACGCUGAGGCGCGAAAGCCAGGGGAGCAAACGGG